CUACGGAGGGUGCAAGCGUUACUCGGAAUCACUGGGCGUAAAGGAUGCGUGGGCGGAUAAUCAAGUCAAAAGUGAAAUCCCACGGCUUAACCGUGGAACUGCUUUCGAAACGGGUUAUCUAGAAUAUGGAAGAGGCAGAUGGAAUUAGUGGUGUAGGGGUAAAAUCCGUAGAGAUCACUGGGAAUACCGAUUGCGAAGGCGAUCUGCUGGGACAUUAUUGACGCUGAGGCAUGAAAGCGUGGGGAGCAAACAGGAUUAGAAACCCUAGUAGUCC
rnacentral:rRNA from 1 species